AUAGAAAUCUCCAUGCUUUUCAAGUGUUGUAAUUUGCUAGAGGUUGCUCUUUUCGCCUCUGCAUCACUAGCAUUGUUGCUCAAAACAUGUUGCCACGCGGAUGCUCUUUGGACUAUGAUAUGGACAUGAAGACAUUUGUUUUAGUGCCAAAUAUUACUUCCUAAUGCCCGCAAAGUAUCGUUGUGUAUUAUAUUUGCUAUGGAGCUAUGUAUGUAUGGAUGCUAUGGAACUAUAUGUAUAUAUGGAUGCUAUGGAA